rnacentral:rRNA from 1 species
UUCCGGUUGAUCCUGCCGGACCUGACUGCUAUCGGAUUGAUACUAAGCCAUGCGAGUCAUUGUAGCAAUACAAGGCAUACGGCUCAGUAACGCGUAGUCAACCUAACCUAUGGACGGGAAUAACCUCGGGAAACUGAGAAUAAUGCCCGAUAGAACAUUAUGCCUGGAAUGGUUUAUGUUCCAAAUGAUUCAUCGCCGUAGGAUGGGACUGCGGCCUAUCGGUUUGUUGGUGAGGUAAUGGCCCACCAAGACUAUUACAGGUACGGGCUCUGAGAGGAGUAGCCCGGAGAUGGGUACUGAGACACGGACCCAGGCCCUAUGGGGCGCAGCAGGCGAGAAAACUUUGCAAUGUGCGAAAGCACGACAAGGUUAAUCCGAGUGGUUUCUGCUAAAGGAACCUUUUGUCAGUCCUAGAAACACUGAUGAAUAAGGGGUGGGCAAGUUCUGGUGUCAGCCGCCGCGGUAAAACCAGCACCUCAAGUGGUCAGGAUGAUUAUUGAGCCUAAAGCAUCCGUAGCCGGCUCUGUAAGUUUUCGGUUAAAUCUGUACGCUCAACGUACAGGCUGCCGGGAAUACUGCAGAGCUAGGGAGUGGGAGCGGUAGACGGUACUCGGUAGGAAGGGGUAAAAUCCUUUGAUCUAUUGAUGACCACCUGUGGC